CUGCUCCUCCUCGCUUGCUCCGCCGCCGUCCGCCUGGAGCGUGGGGAACUGCCGCGGGGCAUGAAGGGCAAGAACGUCGAGUUCCAACGCCGGAGCACCCGCGGCCGCGGCGGCUGCAACCGGGCCGGCGCCGGUGAGUACGUCGCGGUGAAUCCGACGCCGAGCCGCCGACUCCCGCGCGCGCCGCCGCGUCCCCUAUCCCCGCGAUGCGCCGUCGCAACCCCAAUGGUCAGGCUCAGGCAGGAACUCCGCCCCGCAUCGCCUCCCACCGGCCCAGUCGUCGCUUCACGCUCACCCGCCGGCUCGACAUCGUCCCACCUACUGUGAGACAUUGGGCCGCCAUACUAGAUGUUUGUUCAGUGGGUUUCCUUCGUGCCGCGACAUAUCGCGCGAUUUCCUCUGACAUAUCGAAACAACUCUGAAUACUAGUGCUCACCCACUGCCCACCUUGAAGGGUCGACGACCGGAUAAACAAGGGGACAUGUUCUGGAGUCAGAGCCUGAUAUUGCCCUUCCUAAAAGUUCCAGUUCAGAGCUUGGAAGAGAGCAUCAAGCAGAUGGGCACCAGCUUUCCAGCAGCAUACUAGAUCUGGAAGAUGAGACAAGUAAUUGGCCAACAAAAGGUUCUCGUCACUGGACGGCCACUCGUUGGUGGAGUACGACACUCAUCGGGUGGGACGCGGUCAUCUGAAAUCAAAACCCUGAAAAUGCCAUCUGACGGGUGUCUAGGUUUUCUGAGGCAUCGACGGAAUCACAGGGUUUACUCACUGGCAGGCGUUUCUCUCUUUCUUUCAUGAACUCACGAGGACUCGCCACUGAUGCUAGAUGAUUUUUGCCAUAUGGUGCACACUGACCUAUGGGUCCCAGUGCCGCAUGACGUUGAAGCACGGGUCGCGCGCGGCAAAUCCUGAAAUGGCAGAUCAUCUAUAUCUUCAGAUGAUAUGAUUUCAAUGUUGCCAUUGAAAUCAUAUCCUGUAAGGGGCCCUGACUCAGGUUCGCCUCAAAGAUUCUUCAGCCGCGUGACUAAUUGAGGUCUCCCCGAUCGAGCACCGAACCGCCGGCGAUGACCCAAGCCUGGUCCGUGCCGUCUCCGCGCAGCUGCUAGCUCUACUAUCGCUCCAGCGUCGAGUCCGCACCAGAGGGCUGCCAAAAAGGGCUUCUCGUGUCGACCAGCUUAGCCAAUCUGCUGUCGGUUUUUCCAAAUUUCACUUUGGAAAGAACACGCAGAGAAGGUUGGAGGAGGUGAAACUAUGGAAGGUUGUGGUGUUCUUGUUGAUUAGCAGUUGCAGCAGUGCAGGAGGACUUCUCCAGCAAUCAAGUAUGCAGGGCUGCAAGAUGAUUUCUUGUCACAUCACCAAGCUAAUGGGUAUGAAAUCAAAUGCGAGUAAAAUUACCUGCUACUCUCUCAGGAAAACUACAAUUUGGAUGAGGUGUGUCUGCAUUUGUUACUGAAACAUGGAACUCCAGCCUGCAAAAUCAAAAUGCCGCGGACCGUUCAUGGAUAUUGGAUUAUUUUUCUGUUUCCAGGAGAGAGAGAGGGAGAGGGAGAGGGAGAGGGAGAGGGAGGGAGGGAGGGAGGGAGAGAGAGAGAGAGAGAGAAGUUGUAGCAAGUUUGCUGCAUCUUGAUCCAUGUUUUCAAGUCGUCCUAGUCGGUACUGAGGCAACUUGGUAAAAUCCCAAUUAGUCGGACCUAUCCACCUGAUUAGUCACGAUUAAUCGCCUGAUCAGGGACUGAUUGGUGCCAUGGCAACUAGUUCUGAAUUCAAUGAUAUGAUUUGAAAA